GCAGGUGGAUUUGUUUUCAAUUACGAGCCUGACCAGUAGCCCCUGGCUCUUGGCUCACGGCUGUUUGUCGGUUCAGAUGAAGAGACAGGGCUCUAUCUUGGCCAGUGCGACGGAGCUGUGACCGGGGCCGCUAACGUUAGGUGUCAGCCGCGAGUGAAAACGCCAGCUCUAACCAGUCUCCUGGCCAGUCCCUUUGACCAGCAAGGAACGCAACACCAACAACUGACGCUGAGAGCUACAAACGAGAGAUGACUGCGACAUCCCCCGGAAGCUUCCGACAAACUGGGUCCUCGACCAUUUGAUCUGCUUGUUCCCGAAUGCCAGUAAAAACCCGCUCACAGCUUCGGGCCGAUUCGUCCCAGUCGCCCCCAGGUCGGCCUGGGCUCAGCACCGACAAGUUUCAACUGCGCCUCGGAACUGAAUUUCAAAUACUCUACCCGUGAGGAUGAGGGUGUCACUGGCUAUACUGGCAUUUAUUGUCCAUCACUAAUUGCCCCAGAAGGCGGUUAAGAGUCAACCAUAUUGCUGGGGUUUUGGAGUCACAUGUAGUCCAGACCAGGUUAAAAAUUUGAUGUGCAAUGAGAUAUAGCAAGUAUGUGAUGCUUUGGAAAAUAAGCUGUCCUCCCUCCAUCCACCUUGCAUCUGAGAGAGCUCCUACUUUGAUGGUGAUGAAGACAGGAAUCAUGAGGAUGAAGUCCUAUUUUAUAAGGGUGCAACUUGUGGCUGUGUACAGACCUGGACAUGGGAGAAAUCUUCGUUCCGAUCCUCGAUGAAUAACUAAUUAUAAAGACAAAUGCAUAUCUCUAGUGCAUAGUACUGCAAACAGCUUCAAAUUCACAAACCCUGGGAUCUGUGAACACUGGCACUUAAUCAGUUCAUUAGGAACAGGGAUGACUGUCACAGACAUACACCUGAUGGUUACAAUCACAGAGAUUUGGAAACUGAUGAUUAUUGGUCUGUUUUGCUAAUUACUUGAUGGAAUGGAGCAGUUCCAGAUGUGGAGUCCUGACAUCUGUGGACAAUUAAUCAGAAUAUAUACCAGUAAUCAGGUAAAUGGAUUCAAGUGUAGUCUGGCCAGCUUCCACUGAGGUCACCUAAGGACCAAAAUCCUUGUCUGAUUCAGUAAUUCAAAAGACCAGUCAUUGUCUCAAAGGCAGAAGCUUAGGGGGCCUCCCCAUGAUUUGAUGUAGAAAUGGAACACAUUAUUGCAGAACUAACAUUAUUCAAGUGGGCUAAACAUUCACUGUUUCCAACUCUGUGCCAGGUCAGUUAAUCUCAGCUGGAGUUGCUAAAUGUGUCAUUAGUGACAUUGGACUGAGGAAAGGGGAUCAAUGCAAGGGAUGGAAAUUAUAUGAAACCUGGGAAGAGCUUUGGUUAAAUACUGUCUAAAUUCAACUCUAGACAGUCCUAGAGUGCAGGUUGGAAGAGGUACAGUGUGGAUCCAUGCAAAUACAUUAGUUUUUGUAGCUCAGACGCAAUUGACCAAAGUGAUGCCUGGAAUGAGUGUGUUGUCUUCUGAAAAUAGGUUGGAUAGACUGGCUUGCUUCUGCAGGAGUUUAGAAGGGUGAGGAUGAUCCCAAAUAGUCUUAACAAGGUGGAUGUGGACAGUAUGUUUUCUAUUGUCAUUGAAUCCAGCACUCUUUAGCACAGAGCUGAAAAAAAUUCUUUUCUCUCGGAGGAUUAUGCAACUUUAAAACUCUGUCUCAGAAGAUGGUGGAUGCAGGGUCAUUGAGAUUUUUUGAGACAAUGGUUGAUAGAUUCUUGUUAGGCAAGAAACUUGAAGGUUACUGGCGGUAAAUGGGAAUGUGGAAAAGGUGCAAAUGUUUGACUGUCAGAUAAAGGUAGGAUUAUGUUUGGGUUGUGACUAGAACCUGAAAGCCCAGGAGCAAAAGACCUUUCAGAUGUCCACUGUCCAGACUCUUAGUCAUGAAAGACCAUUUAGAUGGGAUUGUCAGGAAUGGCCAGUGUCAGGACAUCAGGGAGAAAAGCUAACCAUUUAUAGAGACUUGGGAGUUCUAGUCCAGGAUUCUCUCAAGGUAAACUUGCAGGUUGAGUCAGUAGUCAGGAAGGCAAAUGCAAUGUUGGCUUUUAUUUUAAGAGGAUUUGAAUAUAAAAGCAGGGAUGUACUACUGAGGUUUUAUAAGGCUCUGGUCAGGCCAUAUUUGGAGUAAUGCAUGCAGUUUUGGACCCCAUAUCUCAAGAAGGUUGUACUGGCCCUGGAGUGGGAUCAGAGGAGGUUCAUAAGAAUGGUCCCAGGAAUGGAAAGCUGAACAUAUGAUGGACAUUUGAGGACUCAACUCAUUGGAGUUUAGAUAGAUGAGGGAGGAUCCAAUUGAAACUUUCCGAAUAUGAAUGGCAUGGACAAAGUGGAUGUUGGGAUGAUGCUUCCAUUGGUAGGAGCAUCUAGGACCUGAGGGCUCAGCCUUAGGGUAAAGGAAGAUAAGGAGAAACUAUUUCAGUUGGAGAGUGGAGAAUCUAUGGAAUUCACUGCCCCAGAAGGCUGUGGAGGCCAGGUCAUUGAAUACAUUUAAGACUGAGAGAUAGGUUCUUGAUUAUGAACGGGAUCAAGGGUUACGGGGAGAAAGCAGGAGAAUGGGGUUGAGGAACUUAUCAGCCAUGAUUGAAUGGCAGAGCAGAUGGGCUGAAUGGCCUAAUUUCUGCUCCUAUGUCUUAGGUCUUGAUAAAAGGGUUUACUUGUAGAUAUCAAAUUAGAAUAAGCAGGCUUUUUCUUUUUAAUUGUAUCUGUCCUCCUUUCUUAGCCAAAACCGUCACAGUCCAGGAAAGCUUGCAGAAACAGUCAUAAGCCUCUGCUGCUCUGCCUCAACUCCAUCAUCUUCUUGUUUCUCUGUCUUUUAUCCCUACCUUGGCACCUUCUGUUUCUGACACAGUUUUCACCACAGGGUGGUGGAGAUGUAAACCAGUAUCCCAUCUUUUCUCAACCAACAGUUCAGCAUCAGCCAGAGUGUUGUGCCCAAGUCUGGGCAUCACCCCUCGAGAAGAAUGUUAGGGCCUUGGAGCAGGUUGAAAGGAAAUUUGCCAGAAUGGUAUAUAAAGUUGAAGGCCUUCAUUUAUGUGAAGAAGCUAGCAAGCUGGAAUUGUUGCCCUUACUCACACACAAAUUAGAAAAAUGUAAAGCUGGGGGAGUUUAAUAGAUGGCUGCAGGGUUGGUGACCAGCAAACACAAAUUUAAGACAAUUAAUAAAAGAACCAGAGGGAAAAUGAAAAAUGGUUUUAUGCAGCCAGUUGUUGCAAUUGGGAAAGCACUAUUUGAAAGGGCAGUGGGGGCAGAUUCAACAGUAAAUUUCAAAAGGGAAUUGGAUUAAUAAGUAAAUAGAAGAAAAAGAAUUCUGUUCAGGGCACAGGAGCAAAAAAAACAUCGGGGUGUAGAAGUAAUUGUAUAGCACCUUCAUACAGCUGGCACAGGCAUGAUGGGCUGAAUGCACUUCAUCUGAGGAGUAUGGUCUUAUGAUUCUGACUAAACUGUACUCACCCAUACUGUUGUUUCACCAAACUGCUGCACAAAUUCCAUUCAGCAUCAGUUUAAGAAUUAAUGUGUGUAUGUAACUGGAAGCUGAUUCACUCACAUAAGAAUUAUUUUCAUGAUUUUAGACUGAGUGGAUUUAACAGUGCUGAAUUUCAUUUAAUUCUUCAGUGCAACCUUACUGUUGUUGCAUAACUGACUGAACCAACAGUUCAGAUGUAAUUCAUAUCAGAAUGUAUAUUUUUACAAUACAUGAACUUGUUUUUCCCUUUUCUCACAUUGUGACUGAUUCAUUCCUAGUUUUUAUUUUAGAUCUUCAGAAUCUAUGAGUUCUCCGUUGUAAACAGUAUGAUACUGUACGAUUUGUAAUGCACACCAUUGUGAUUCUAUUCCUUUAGGACUGAUAUUCUUUGUAAUGCAUGUAGCAUAGUAUUUUUAAAAGGUUUCGAGAAGAUUUAUAGCUUGGGUCAUGGAUGAGAUUAUAGACAUGCUCG